CAAUAGCGUAUAUUAAAGUUGUUGCAGUUAAAAAGCUCGUAGUUGAAUUUCUGUCAGGAGUGACCGGGCCUUUGGAUGAACUUCCAUUGUUUUUUGCUCUGUUUGUCAUCUCUAGACAUCCUGAAAUAUUUUUUAAAAAUAUUUCUCUUUUACUGUUAGCAAAAUAGAGUGUUCCAAGCAAAGCGUAGUUUUGAAUACAUUAGAAUGGAAUAAUAAGAUAGGACUUUGGUGCUAUUUUGUUGGUUUGCACACCAAGGUAAUGAUUAAUAGGGACAGUUGGGGGUAUUCGUAUUUAAUUGUCAGAGGUGAAAUUCUUGGAUUUAUGAAGGACGAACUACUGCGAAAGCAUUUACCAAGGAUGUUUUCAUUAA
rnacentral:rRNA from 1 species